CUUGUUUUCUACCUCGGCUGAGCCUACAAACUCCUUAUAAAAAACCUAACUUUUCCUCGUCUCGAGGUCUUUGGUUCCAGACCUUUUAAGGUCUAGCCACUUACCACACAAGACACCGCCAGUUCCAGCGACAACACAACAGCAGCCACGUGGAGACUCAUCAACUUCGUCCAACAGCUUUCAGCGACCUCCAUCUCCGCCGCCACCAUUCGUCUUAACGAAUCUCUCUACGUACACAACUCAACAAGUAACACACCCAGGUCAUAACACUGCACUGUUUGUGAACUACUUCACCAUGGAUCAACAGUGAAUAUACUACCUGCGAGAACUCCUGUACCAAGUGACCCAGGCAGCAGCAUCACAGCCACAACUUCACGUACGACAUAUACCGCAACCGGCUCUGCGUCAUCGCCACAACUUCUUGAUACAGUAUUUCAACUAUCGUGUACAAUUGACUAGAACUGGUGUUUAUCAUUCUUGUAUCUAUGAACUUACUCCUCACUUUGAUGGCUAUAGACUCUUUCACUAUCUCUUCUUCAGCGCCAUCCUUAUAGGUUCUUAACACGCAUACGUCUAUGCCUACAUACACACGCAUACAUCUUAUUCUUAUGACGGCCUGUCUAUUAUUCUGUAUAUACGAUGCAUACACAAUCACAUAUGUUAACAUAUCAAUAAAUCUUCUCUUAAACAUUCUA